CUUACUAUUAAGAUACCAGAUUAUUUAGAAUGAAACUACUUCAGAUUUUUCUAUUUGUUCUUUUUGCGCUAUGUAUUAUUUUCGGAAGUAGUGAAGCGAGUUGGUUGAAGAAAAAGCUUAAAAAAUUGGAAAAGGAUGUUCGACGAGUUAGAGACAGAGCGAGAGAAAACAUGGAUGUUGUAGCUGGUUACACAGGGGUCGCAGCUGCAGCCGGCUUACUUCCGGGAAGACGAUAAUUUUUAAAAACACGAACAAGCUCUAAAUGUUCAGAUAAUAUUUGUGUACAUGUGUAUUAAAAACAUAAGAUUUUAAUUGA